rnacentral:lncRNA from 1 species
CAGCCUGUGGCCAAUCGCAACGCCGGAAGGAGCUGAUAGACACGGAGGUUGCUCUGCUCGGAAGAGACCGAGCCCCAGGGCCGCCGUGCCCUCUGGGCGGUUGUGAGGCUGUGCAGCCUGCGGCUUCUGCCCUCUUUCUUUCCCUGACUGGUUGGGUCUGGUCUCCGAGGCCUGUAGCCCGCCUUUUCCGCAUAGGCAUGUGACCAGGGUCUCCCGCGGAGUUUUGCUGAGAAUUUUGGAAAUGAAGCAUGUGGAGCGCCUGUGUCGGGGAAGAGAGGCCGAGCUGAAGGAGCACGGGCGCCGGCCUCGGCCUCUGGGGAGCCGGGCCCGCUCGCCUCCCUGCGCGGGGCUAGCCCGAGCCUGGAACUCGGGAGGCCCAGGAGCGAAGUGAAAGCCCCUUCUGGUCCCCCAGGGCUCCACUCCCGCAGCAGCCCGGCUCCGUCGGCGUCAGUGGAGCCCCAGGCCUGGGUCCGAGAUGAGCGAGACGCUGCUCUGGCUCGCGGUCGCCCGAGCGCUCCCAAAACCAGGGAACAGGCCCCAGGAGAGAAGCCCCUAGAAGUUUCCUGGAGCAGGGAGUCUCCUGUAUCCUGUUAGCUCUGCAAAGGAAUCUGGACUUUAUUCUGAGGGCCUUGGAGAACCCCUGCAAAGUUUUUUAAAAGGUGGGCUAAGAGAUUGGCAUUUCACAACAUGACUCUCCGAAUUGAAACACUAAUAAGAGAAGAUUGGCGAAA